GAGUGCACUACUAGGCCUUAAUUGCCCUGAUCAGCCUCACCUGGGCAUUCACCCUCCGCCAGGAGCUCUGUUUGAGGUUAGGCAUGGAGGCAGAGUCUUUCCUAGAGUUACACUAUAGAGAAGCUCUGCUUUUCCUGUUUCCUGAUGUGGAACCUGUUUCUGGCCCCAUGGCGUUACGUACAUUUAAGGAAUCAAAACUAUUCCAAUCAGUUCCUCCCACGAAGCUACAGAAGAGCUAAAGGGAACAGUGCAUGCUUCGUGUGAAUGAAGAACAUUGCUGAUCCACAGCUAGGGGGACCAGAUGAUCCAGUCUGAAGUGCAAAGUUCAAAAUCCCCAGCGUGCCUCCAGUCCUUGCUGUCUUGCACUACAGAAUCUACAGUUUCUUUAUUAGUAGAACCCAGCGUCUAUGGGAAGAAAUGGACAUAGAGAACCCCUAAUAAAAAGGAUUGUUUUAACUUUGGAAUACA
rnacentral:lncRNA from 1 species